GUAGGUGGGGUAAAGGCUCACCUAGGCGACGAUCCCUAGCUGGUCUGAGAGGAUGACCAGCCACACUGGAACUGAGACACGGUCCAGACUCCUACGGGAGGCAGCAGUGGGGAAUAUUGCACAAUGGGCGCAAGCCUGAUGCAGCCAUGCCGCGUGUAUGAAGAAGGCCUUCGGGUUGUAAAGUACUUUCAGCGGGGAGGAAGGGAGUAAAGUUAAUACCUUUGCUCAUUGACGUUACCCGCAGAAGAAGCACCGGCUAACUCCGUGCCAGCAGCCGCGGUAAUACGGAGGGUGCAAGCGUUAAUCGGAAUUACUGGGCGUAAAGCGCACGCAGGCGGUUUGUUAAGUCAGAUGUGAAAUCCCCGGGCUCAACCUGGGAACUGCAUCUGAUACUGGCAAGCUUGAGUC
rnacentral:rRNA from 1 species